CCUACGGGUGGCAGCAGUGAGGAAUAUUGGGCAAUGGAGGCAACUCUGACCCAGCCAUGCCGCGUGAGUGAAGAAGGUUUUCGGAUUGUAAAGCUCUUUCGGAGGAGACGAAGAUGACGGUAGCAGCUAAAGAAGCACCGGCAAACGACGUGCCAGCAGCCGCGGUAAGACGAAGGGGGCAAGCGUUGUUCGGAAUUACUGGGCGUAAAGGGAGUGUAGGCGGUUUAGUAAGAUAGUGUUGAAAUCCCAGAGCUUAACUUUGGAAUUGCCAUUAUAACUAUUAGACUAGAUUUACAGAGAGGAUAGUGGACUUCCCAGUGUAGCGGUGAAAUUCGUAGAUAUUGGG
rnacentral:rRNA from 1 species